rnacentral:rRNA from 1 species
GAACAACUUACCGAAAGGUGAGCUAAUGCCGGAUGAGUUAUAUAAGUGCAUGUUUAUAUAGGAAAAGUUGGGGAGACCUGACGCUGAAAGAUGGACUCGCGUCCCAUUAGCUAGUUGGUAGGGUAAUGGCCUACCAAGGCGACGAUGGGUAGCCGGCCUGAGAGGGUGGCCGGCCACACUGGGACUGAGACACGGCCCAGACUCCUACGGGAGGCAGCAGUGGGGAAUUUUGCGCAAUGCUCGUAAGAGUGACGCAGCGACGCCGCGUGAAUGACGAAGGCCUUCGGGUCGUAAAGUUCUUUCGACAGGGAAGAAAAUGCCUAUAAGUAACUGUGUAUGUAUUGACGGUACCUGACCAAGAAGCCCCGGCUAACUACGUGCCAGCAGCCGCGGUAAUACGGAGGGGGCGAGCGUUGUUCGGAGUGACUGGGCGUAAAGAGCACGUAGGCGGUGUUGUAAGUCAUUAGUCAAAGACUAGAGCUCAACUUUAGUAAGGCUAGUGAUACUAUAAUACUAGAGUAUCAGAGAGGAUUGCAGAAUUCCUGGUGUAGCGGUGAAAUGCGUAGAUAUCAGGAGGAAUACCGUUAGCGAAGGCGGCAAUCUGGCUGGAAACUGACGCUGAGGUGCGAAAGCGUGGGUAGCAAACAGGAUUAGAUACCCUGGUAGUCCACGCUGUAAACGAUGGAUGCUAGGUGU